GACGAACGCUGGCGGCGUGCUUAACACAUGCAAGUCGAACGGAAAGGUCCUGCUUUUGUGGGGUGCUCGAGUGGCGAACGGGUGAGUAACACGUGAGUAACCUGCCCCUGACUUUGGGAUAACUUCAGGAAACUGGGGCUAAUACCGGAUAGGAGCUCUUGCUGCAUGGUGGGGGUUGGAAAGUUUCGGCGGUUGGGGAUGGACUCGCGGCGUAUUAGCUUGUUGGUGGGGUAGUGGCUUACCAAGGCUUUGACGGGUAGCCGGCCUGAGAGGGUGAUCGGCCACGCUGGAACUGAGACACGGUCCAGACUCCUACGGGAGGCAGCAGUAGGGAAUCUUAGGCAAGGGGGGAAAGCUUGACGGAGCAACGCGGCGGGAGUGAUGAAGGGCUUCGGAUCGUAGAACUCUGUUAUUAGGGAAGAACAAAUGUGUAAGUAACUAUGCACGUGUUGAAGGUACCUAAUCAGAAAGCCACGGCUAACUACGUG
rnacentral:rRNA from 1 species